UAAAAUUAUUGAUUUUGAGCCCCUUCGAUCACUAGGCAAAUGAUAUCGAAAAAUCGCAAAAUUUAUUUUCUAGGUACUUCAAAUAUUCUAGAUCAUGUUUAAUGGAGCCGAUCGACGAUUAGAAAGUCGCAACAUCGAAAAUGAGCUGGAAGCACGGAAGGCUCCGUGCUUCAAAUAGCAUAGUAGCCUCACACUAUAUAUAUAUAUAUAUAUAUAUAUAUAUAUAUAUAUAUAUAUAUAUAUAUAUAUUAGACAGAUAGAUAGAAUGUUAUCUGUUUCGUUUAUUUCAUUUAGAGAUAAACUUAGCCAUAAAUAUGAACCAACUAGAAUUCGAAUUUAGAAUCUCGAAUACCAACCACCAAAUCUUUUGCCACUUGCACUAGGAACGAUAGGUACCUUUAUAAAAUUUAUUAGUCCCGCACCUUGAAAUAGGGGUGUAAUGUCUGCUGUGCUGGGCACGGCCCAUAUUUUUCGUGCUGAUUCGGGCUAGGGACAAGCCUGACCUGGCCCGGUUUCAAAUUCCGGCCGAGCCGUGCCGAGCCGAAGCUACCAAAUGUUUGGCCCAGCACGGCCCUUCGGCCCGGGCCGUGCUUCGGGCCAGCCCCUAAAGAAUUUUAUUUUUUUAUUUUUUUAAAAAAUAUAUAGUCCAAUUUGCAUAAAAAAUCUAUUAGUUUUGAGCUUUUGCAAAGAUAAGCUGUCUUUUUGAAUUUUGCAGAUUUGGGCCGAAUUUUUAGAAAGAUGAUCAAAUUAUUCCUCUUUUAAAAUGCAUAAAAAUUAUAUAUUUUAAAUGCCUAGAAAAAUACAACUGUUAAACCAUUAAGUGUAAAAUUUCUUAAAAAUAACAACUUAAGCCAUAAUUACAUGUACCUUUCUUAUGAAAUGAAAAUUUUCAUUCAAGACGAAAUAAAAAAAAUAAAGUAUAAUUAUUAAUAAGAUGGAGGAUGGAUGAGAUCAGCCGAGUGGUCUCAGUUUGAGCAGUGAAUGAGACUGGGAGUUGGAUUUCACUAUUUUUUACUUGUUCGGAAAGCUUUCGCUUCGCACCUUCCCCUGAGAGUUGAGCUUGCAACAUCUUUUCAAAUAGUACUACAUGCUCUUCCAAAUAGUGCAAUAUUUGUAUAAGUAGUGCAAUAUAUGCAUUGUUAAUAUAUAUUUUGCAUGAUUUUUACACUAAAUUACGUACAGUUUAGUACAUUACACGAAAAUAAUAUAAUAUAUUAUAACAUAUUAUAAAAAUAAUACAAUAUAUGUACAAACGGUGCACAUUUUAUACUAUUUGUACAGAUAUUUACACUAUUUGUGUAAACGUUCUACUAUUAUGAGAUAAUGUUACACCAUUUAGGUGUGUAUUGCACUCUUUUUUAAAAAAAAUUAAAUUUUAUUGCAUAUUAAAUAAAAUGUUAAAUUUUUCGAAAAUGACAACUGCCAAGUCAUAAUUACAUAUAUCUUUCUCGUGAAACGAGAAUCCUCAUUCAAGACAAAAUAAAAAAAUAAAAUAUAAUUAAUAAAAUAAAAGAGUGCAACAUUCUCUCAAAUAGUGCAAUAUAUAUAUAAGUAGUGCAAUAUAUGCAUUAUUAAUACACAUUUUGCAUAAUUUUUACACUAAAUUACGUACAAUUUAGUAUAUCACACGAAAAUAAUAUAAUAUAUGCACCGUUUGUACAUAUGCAUCGUACGUAAUUUACGCAAAAAUUAUAUUAUUUUUGCAUAAUAUACUAAACUGUACGUAAUUUAGUGUAAAAAUCAUGCAAAAUGUGUAUUAACAAUGCAUAUGUUGCACUAUUUAUACAGAUAUUAUACUAUUUGAAAAAACAUGCUGCACUAUUUGAGAGUAUCUUGCACUCUUUCAUUUUAUUAAUUAAUUUUUAUUCUUUUUAUUUUGUCUUGAAUGAGAUUUCUCGUUUCACGAGAAAGCUACAUAUAAUUAUGACUUAGCAGUUGUAAUUUUUAAGAAAUUUGACACUUUAUUUAAUAGACAAUGAAAUUUAAUUUUCAAAAAGAAAGAGUGCAACACACAUCUAAAUAGUACAACAUCCUCUCAUAAUAGUGCAACAUUUAUAUAAAUGAUGUAAAUAUCUGCACAAAGUGUAAAAUAUGCACCGUUUGUACAUAUAUUAUAUAAUUUUUAUAGUAUAUUGUAAUAUAUUAUAUUAUUUUCAUAUAAUAUACUAAACUGUACGUAAUUUAGUGUAAAAAUCAUGCAAAAUGUGUAUUUAAUAAUACAUAUGCUGCACUACUUAUACCGAUAUUGCACUAUUUGAAAGAGUAUGUUGUACUAUUUGAGAGAAUCUUGCACUAUUUUAUUUUAUUAAUUAUUUUUUAUUCUUUUCAUUUUGUCUUGAAUGAAAUUUUUUCGUUUCACGAAAAAGAUAUAUGUAAUUAUAACUUAGCAAUUGUCAUUUUAAAAAAAUUUGACACUUUAUUUAAUAUGCAAGAAAAUUUAAUUUUCAAAAAAAAGAGUGCAACACAUAUCUAAAUAGUGCAAUAUCUUCUUAUAAUAGUGUAACGUUUACACAAAUAAUAUAAAUAUCUGUACAAAUAGUGUAAAAUAUGCACCGUUUAUACACAUAUUGUAUUAUUUUUAUACAAUAUGUUAUAAUAUAUUAUAAUAUUUUUGCCUAAUAUACUAAACUAUACAUAAUUUAGUGUAAAAAUAAUGUAAAAUGUUCAUUAACAAUGCCUAUGUUGCACUACUUUUACAUAUAUUGCAAUAUUUGAAAGAGCAUGUUGCACUAUUUGAGAUGAUGUUGCACUUUUUUAUUUUAUUAAUUAUACUUUAUUCUUUUUAUUUUGUCUUAAAUAAAAAUUCUCGUUUCACGAUAAAGGUACAUAUAAUUAUGGCUUAACAGUUGUCAUUUUAAAAAUUUUUUACACUUAUGGCUUAGCAAUUGUAUUUUUUUAGACAUUUAAAGUAUAUAAUUUUUAUGCAUUUUAAAAAAGAGGUAGUUUGGUCAUCUUUCUGAAAAUUCGGUCCAAAACUGUAAAAAUCUAAAAAGACGACCUACUUUUGCAUAAACUUAAAACUAAUAGAUUUUUUUAUACAAAUUGGCCAAAUAUAUAAAAUUUAAAAAUAAACAAAUAAUUUUUUCUAUUUAAAAUUUAAAAUUUAUAAAAAUAAUUAUAAUAUAACAAAUAUUUGAAUUUUUUAAAAAUAUAUUUAUUUUUAUUUUUUUUGAAAAAAAAAAAUUAUA
rnacentral:lncRNA from 1 species